rnacentral:rRNA from 1 species
UACGAAGGGGGCUAGCGUUGCUCGGAAUCACUGGGCGUAAAGGGUGCGUAGGCGGGUCUUUAAGUCAGGGGUGAAAUCCUGGAGCUCAACUCCAGAACUGCCUUUGAUACUGGCGAUCUUGAGUCCGGGAGAGGUGAGUGGAACUCCGAGUGUAGAGGUGAAAUUCGUAGAUAUUCGCAAGAACACCAGUGGCGAAGGCGGCUCACUGGCCCGGUACUGACGCUGAGGAGCGAAAGCGUGGGGAGCAAACAGGG